UACAGAGGUCUCAAGCGUUGUUCGGAUUCAUUGGGCGUAAAGGGCGCGUAGGCGGUUCGCUAAGUUGGAUGUGAAAACUCUGGGCUCAACCCAGAGCCUGCAUCCAAAACUGGUGGGCUAGAGUUCUGGAGGGGGUAGCGGAAUUCCUGGUGUAGCGGUGAAAUGCGUAGAUAUCAGGAGGAACACCGGUGGCGAAGGCGGCUACCUGGACAGAAACUGACGCUGAGGCGCGAAAGCCAGGGGAGCGAACGGG
rnacentral:rRNA from 1 species